rnacentral:rRNA from 1 species
GGGUUGUGAGGUUAAGCGACUAAGCGUACACGGUGGAUGCCCUGGCAGUCAGAGGCGAUGAAGGACGUGCUAAUCUGCGAAAAGCGCCGGCGAGGUGAUAUGAACCCUUGACCCGGCGAUGUCCGAAUGGGGAAACCCAGUGUGAUUCGUCACACUAUCGUUAACUGAAUACAUAGGUUAACGAGGCGAACCGGGGGAACUGAAACAUCUAAGUACCCCGAGGAAAAGAAAUCAACCGAGAUUCCCCCAGUAGCGGCGAGCGAACGGGGAGCAGCCCAGAGUCUGAAUCAGCUUGUGUGUUAGUGGAAGCGUCUGGAAAGUCGCACGGUACAGGGUGACAGUCCCGUACACGAAAAUGCACAGGCUGUGAACUCGAAGAGUAGGGCGGGACACGUGGUAUCCUGUCUGAAUAUGGGGGGACCAUCCUCCAAGGCUAAAUACUCCUGACUGACCGAUAGUGAACCAGUACCGUGAGGGAAAGGCGAAAAGAACCCCGGCGAGGGGAGUGAAAAAGAACCUGAAACCGUGUACGUACAAGCAGUGGGAGCACCUUCGGGUGUGACUGCGUACCUUUUGUAUAAUGGGUCAGCGACUUAUAUUCUGUAGCAAGGUUAACCGUAUAGGGGAGCCGAAGGGAAACCGAGUCUUAACUGGGCGUUAAGUUGCAGGGUAUAGACCCGAAACCCGGUGAUCUAGCCAUGGGCAGGUUGAAGGUUGGGUAACACUAACUGGAGGACCGAACCGACUAAUGUUGAAAAAUUAGCGGAUGACUUGUGGCUGGGGGUGAAAGGCCAAUCAAACCGGGAGAUAGCUGGUUCUCCCCGAAAGCUAUUUAGGUAGCGCCUCGUGAACUCAUCUUCGGGGGUAGAGCACUGUUUCGGCUAGGGGGCCAUCCCGGCUUACCAACCCGAUGCAAACUACGAAUACCGAAGAAUGUUAUCACGGGAGACACACGGCGGGUGCUAACGUCCGUCGUGAAGAGGGAAACAACCCAGACCGCCAGCUAAGGUCCCAAAGUCAUGGUUAAGUGGGAAACGAUGUGGGAAGGCCCAGACAGCCAGGAUGUUGGCUUAGAAGCAGCCAUCAUUUAAAGAAAGCGUAAUAGCUCACUGGUCGAGUCGGCCUGCGCGGAAGAUGUAACGGGGCUAAACCAUGCACCGAAGCUGCGGCAGCGACACUAUGUGUUGUUGGGUAGGGGAGCGUUCUGUAAGCCGUUGAAGGUGGCCUGUGAGGGUUGCUGGAGGUAUCAGAAGUGCGAAUGCUGACAUAAGUAACGAUAAAGCGGGUGAAAAGCCCGCUCGCCGGAAGACCAAGGGUUCCUGUCCAACGUUAAUCGGGGCAGGGUGAGUCGACCCCUAAGGCGAGGCCGAAAGGCGUAGUCGAUGGGAAACAGGUUAAUAUUCCUGUACUUGGUGUUACUGCGAAGGGGGGACGGAGAAGGCUAUGUUAGCCGGGCGACGGUUGUCCCGGUUUAAGCAUGUAGGCGGAGGUUCCAGGUAAAUCCGGUACCUUUUAACGCUGAGGUGUGAUGACGAGGCACUACGGUGCUGAAGUAACAAAUGCCCUGCUUCCAGGAAAAGCCUCUAAGCAUCAGGUAACACGAAAUCGUACCCCAAACCGACACAGGUGGUCAGGUAGAGAAUACCAAGGCGCUUGAGAGAACUCGGGUGAAGGAACUAGGCAAAAUGGUGCCGUAACUUCGGGAGAAGGCACGCUGAUAUGUAGGUGAAGCCCCUGCGGGUGGAGCUGAAAUCAGUCGAAGAUACCAGCUGGCUGCAACUGUUUAUUAAAAACACAGCACUGUGCAAACACGAAAGUGGACGUAUACGGUGUGACGCCUGCCCGGUGCCGGAAGGUUAAUUGAUGGGGUUAGCGGCAACGCGAAGCUCUUGAUCGAAGCCCCGGUAAACGGCGGCCGUAACUAUAACGGUCCUAAGGUAGCGAAAUUCCUUGUCGGGUAAGUUCCGACCUGCACGAAUGGCGUAAUGAUGGCCAGGCUGUCUCCACCCGAGACUCAGUGAAAUUGAACUCGCUGUGAAGAUGCAGUGUACCCGCGGCAAGACGGAAAGACCCCGUGAACCUUUACUAUAGCUUGACACUGAACACUGGUCCUUGAUGUGUAGGAUAGGUGGGAGGCUUUGAAGCGUGGACGCCAGUCUGCGUGGAGCCAACCUUGAAAUACCACCCUUUAAUGGCUGGUGUUCUAACGUAGACCCGUAAUCCGGGUUGCGGACAGUGUCUGGUGGGUAGUUUGACUGGGGCGGUCUCCUCCCAAAGAGUAACGGAGGAGCACGAAGGUUAGCUAAUCCUGGUCGGACAUCAGGAGGUUAGUGCAAUGGCAUAAGCUAGCUUGACUGCGAGAGUGACGGCUCGAGCAGGUGCGAAAGCAGGUCAUAGUGAUCCGGUGGUUCUGAAUGGAAGGGCCAUCGCUCAACGGAUAAAAGGUACUCCGGGGAUAACAGGCUGAUACCGCCCAAGAGUUCAUAUCGACGGCGGUGUUUGGCACCUCGAUGUCGGCUCAUCACAUCCUGGGGCUGAAGUAGGUCCCAAGGGUAUGGCUGUUCGCCAUUUAAAGUGGUACGCGAGCUGGGUUUAGAACGUCGUGAGACAGUUCGGUCCCUAUCUGCCGUGGGCGCUGGAGAAUUGAGGGGGGCUGCUCCUAGUACGAGAGGACCGGAGUGGACGCAUCACUGGUGUUCGGGUUGUCAUGCCAAUGGCACUGCCCGGUAGCUAAAUGCGGAAGAGAUAAGUGCUGAAAGCAUCUAAGCACGAAACUUGCCCCGAGAUGAGUUCUCCCUGAGACUUAAAGUCUCCUGAAGGAACGUUGAAGACGACGACGUUGAUAGGUCGGGUGUGUAAGCGCAGCGAUGCGUUGAGCUAACCGAUACUAAUGAACCGUGAGGCUUAACCUUACAACGCCGAAG